rnacentral:misc_RNA from 1 species
UCACACACCUAAACACUCGAAAUGUUUUGCAAAGUACUCAUCGUCGUUGCUUCGCUCGUAGCAGCUAAUGCGCAACAUCAUGGUGAAAGUCAUGGUCACGCCAUUUCCUCUCAGUCGAUCAUCCGACAUGACAUCUCCCAUGAUCAACACAACUACCACCACGUCCAAGCUGCUCCCGUAUAUCAUCACGCUGCACCAGUAGUCCACCAUGUUGCCCCCGUCGUC